rnacentral:misc_RNA from 1 species
CUUAUUUCAGUAAUAGAUAGCAUAAUUACAUUACAUCAGCUGAUCCACCAAGAAAAUUAUUACUAGCAACUAACCAAAAAGAAAAAAAAAUGUCCACCAAAUGGAGAUAUUAUGAAGAGAGAUUGUGAAGCCAAAAUAAGGAAUAAAACAAAUAACAAUUACAGGUUACAAUAUUAUACCCUAAGUAUUUAACAGAGAGGAGUCUCACAAAACUGAUACAAACAUUUAUACAGAGUUCCAAAGAGUAGAAAUUCACAAAUUUAUCGUCUUCCCACAGCAGAGUGAACAUAUUUCUUCACAUUAUUGCAUUUUUCAGGUUUCCCCCAAGCAAAGUCAUUAGGCCACCACCAUGAACUCUGCCCUCUGGGACAACAAACUCAAAGUUGCUGUUUGUGUUGCUUCUUCCAAUCCCAAGGUUGAUGCUUCUGUCAUCCAGCUUCUCUGAACAAGUUAGUGAGGCCUUCAUUGACAAGGGUACCAAUACCUGUGGUGGUAUAAGUAGCUGCCGUUCAGCUGGCUUAUUGAGCGAAUGAACUGAAUCUGAUACCAUGCUCACCAUAGACGAAGAACGAUUGUUCUCAAAAGUGCUCUUUAUAGGGGAGGCAGCAGGGACCAGUCCAUGGAAAAGUCCUGGUCCAAUCAUGCCUCCUUUAUUCGUAUUCCUCCCAUGUAACAAGCUGCUAUGAGCAGCACAUAGCCCUCCUCUGCCCCUAGCAAACUUCUCGCAUUUCCCCUCUCCCCAGCUGCAACGCUUACCACCACCAUGAGCCUUGCAAAAGUCGGUGCUACCUUGAGCACUCUUUUCACAGUUUUCAAACUUGCAGCGUUUCCCUCCCCCAUGCCUAACACAACAAUCUGUACGCCCUCGAGCACUCUUGGUGCAUCCUGGAACAGAACACCUCUUCCCACCACCAUGGGCAACACAAAAGUUUGUGCCUCCGUGUACACUUUUGGGGCAGAUACCACCACCAUCAAAGAGACACCGCUUUCCACCCCCAUGUGCUUUGCAAAGAGGUGUACUCCCUUCAGCUCCUUUGGUGCAGCCAGCAAAGAUGCAACGCUUUCCACCACCAUGUGCUUUGCAG